rnacentral:rRNA from 1 species
GGUUAAGCGACUAAGCGUACACGGUGGAUGCCCUGGCAGUCAGAGGCGAUGAAGGGCGUGCUAAUCUGCGAUAAGCGCCGGUAAGGUGAUAUGAACCGUUAUAACCGGCGAUACCCGAAUGGGGAAACCCAGUGUGAUUCGUCACACUAUCAUUAACUGAAUCCAUAGGUUAAUGAGGCGAACCGGGGGAACUGAAACAUCUAAGUACCCCGAGGAAAAGAAAUCAACCGAGAUUCCCCCAGUAGCGGCGAGCGAACGGGGAGGAGCCCAGAGCCUGAAUCAGCAUGUGUGUUAGUGGAAGCGUCUGGAAAGGCGCGCGAUACAGGGUGACAGCCCCGUACACAAAAGCGCAUGUGCUGUGAGCUCGAUGAGUAGGGCGGGACACGUGGUAUCCUGUCUGAAUAUGGGGGGACCAUCCUCCAAGGCUAAAUACUCCUGACUGACCGAUAGUGAACCAGUACCGUGAGGGAAAGGCGAAAAGAACCCCGGCGAGGGGAGUGAAAAAGAACCUGAAACCGUGUACGUACAAGCAGUGGGAGCCCCACCACCAAAGCAUUCUAUGGUGUUGAAGGCCCUGCAAAGCAGCAUCGCGGUGGCGGAGCGUCGUUUGCGACGCCCAACACACAAAACAAGCGGUGAGUGCUUUGGGGUGGGGUGACUGCGUACCUUUUGUAUAAUGGGUCAGCGACUUAUAUUCUGUAGCAAGGUUAACCGAAUAGGGGAGCCGGAGGGAAACCGAGUCUUAAUUGGGCGUUAAGUUGCAGGGUAUAGACCCGAAACCCGGUGAUCUAGCCAUGGGCAGGUUGAAGGUUGGGUAACACUAACUGGAGGACCGAACCGACUAAUGUUGAAAAAUUAGCGGAUGACCUGUGGCUGGGGGUGAAAGGCCAAUCAAACCGGGAGAUAGCUGGUUCUCCCCGAAAGCUAUUUAGGUAGCGCCUCGUGAAUUCAUCUCCGGGGGUAGAGCACUGUUUCGGCUAGGGGGCCAUCCCGGCUUACCAACCCGAUGCAAACUGCGAAUACCGGAGAAUGUUAUCACGGGAGACACACGGCGGGUGCUAACGUCCGUCGUGAAGAGGGAAACAACCCAGACCGCCAGCUAAGGUCCCAAAGUCAUGGUUAAGUGGGAAACGAUGUGGGAAGGCCCAGACAGCCAGGAUGUUGGCUUAGAAGCAGCCAUCAUUUAAAGAAAGCGUAAUAGCUCACUGGUCGAGUCGGCCUGCGCGGAAGAUGUAACGGGGCUAAACCAUGCACCGAAGCUGCGGCAGCGACACUGUGUGUUGUUGGGUAGGGGAGCGUUCUGUAAGCCUGUGAAGGUGUGUCGUGAGGCAUGCUGGAGGUAUCAGAAGUGCGAAUGCUGACAUAAGUAACGAUAAAGCGGGUGAAAAGCCCGCUCGCCGGAAGACCAAGGGUUCCUGUCCAACGUUAAUCGGGGCAGGGUGAGUCGACCCCUAAGGCGAGGCCGAAAGGCGUAGUCGAUGGGAAACGGGUUAAUAUUCCCGUACUUGGUGUUACUGCGAAGGGGGGACGGAGAAGGCUAUGUUGGCCGGGCGACGGUUGUCCCGGUUUAAGCGUGUAGGUGUGUGUUCCAGGUAAAUCCGGUUCACUUUAACACUGAGGCGUGACGACGAGGCACUACGGUGCUGAAGCAACAAAUGCCCUGCUUCCAGGAAAAGCCUCUAAGCAUCAGGUAACAUCAAAUCGUACCCCAAACCGACACAGGUGGUCAGGUAGAGAAUACCAAGGCGCUUGAGAGAACUCGGGUGAAGGAACUAGGCAAAAUGGUGCCGUAACUUCGGGAGAAGGCACGCUGACACGUAGGUGAAGUGAUUUACUCAUGGAGCUGAAGUCAGUCGAAGAUACCAGCUGGCUGCAACUGUUUAUUAAAAACACAGCACUGUGCAAACACGAAAGUGGACGUAUACGGUGUGACGCCUGCCCGGUGCCGGAAGGUUAAUUGAUGGGGUCAGCGCAAGCGAAGCUCCUGAUCGAAGCCCCGGUAAACGGCGGCCGUAACUAUAACGGUCCUAAGGUAGCGAAAUUCCUUGUCGGGUAAGUUCCGACCUGCACGAAUGGCGUAAUGAUGGCCAGGCUGUCUCCACCCGAGACUCAGUGAAAUUGAACUCGCUGUGAAGAUGCAGUGUACCCGCGGCAAGACGGAAAGACCCCGUGAACCUUUACUAUAGCUUGACACUGAACAUUGAGCCUUGAUGUGUAGGAUAGGUGGGAGGCUUUGAAGUGUGGACGCCAGUCUGCAUGGAGCCGACCUUGAAAUACCACCCUUUAAUGUUUGAUGUUCUAACGUGGACCCGUAAUCCGGGUUGCGGACAGUGUCUGGUGGGUAGUUUGACUGGGGCGGUCUCCUCCUAAAGAGUAACGGAGGAGCACGAAGGUUGGCUAAUCCUGGUCGGACAUCAGGAGGUUAGUGCAAUGGCAUAAGCCAGCUUGACUGCGAGCGUGACGGCGCGAGCAGGUGCGAAAGCAGGUCAUAGUGAUCCGGUGGUUCUGAAUGGAAGGGCCAUCGCUCAACGGAUAAAAGGUACUCCGGGGAUAACAGGCUGAUACCGCCCAAGAGUUCAUAUCGACGGCGGUGUUUGGCACCUCGAUGUCGGCUCAUCACAUCCUGGGGCUGAAGUAGGUCCCAAGGGUAUGGCUGUUCGCCAUUUAAAGUGGUACGCGAGCUGGGUUUAGAACGUCGUGAGACAGUUCGGUCCCUAUCUGCCGUGGGCGCUGGAGAACUGAGGGGGGCUGCUCCUAGUACGAGAGGACCGGAGUGGACGCAUCACUGGUGUUCGGGUUGUCAUGCCAAUGGCACUGCCCGGUAGCUAAAUGCGGAAGAGAUAAGUGCUGAAAGCAUCUAAGCACGAAACUUGCCCCGAGAUGAGUUCUCCCUGAGACUUUAGGUCUCCUGAAGGAACGUUGAAGACGACGACGUUGAUAGGCCGGGUGUGUAAGCGCAGCGAUGCGUUGAGCUAACCGGUACUAAUGAACCGUGAGGCUUAACCUU